rnacentral:rRNA from 1 species
GUCUACGGCCAUGCCACCGUGAACACACCCGAUCCCAUCUCAUCUCGGAAGCUAAGCAGGGUCGGGCCUGGUUAGUACCUGGAUGGGAGACCACCUAGGAAGACCCGGUGCUAUGGGCU